rnacentral:lncRNA from 12 species
AUUGUGAGGAGUGACCCCUACGGAAUGUUGGGACACCUCCCUCGUCCAGUGAACCGAGCAGGAUCCUAGCUGGCAUAUCGUAAUUAGUGUGGCUGAAGGCAGUCUGCAGGGAAAAAGAGAGAGGAAUUCAAAUCUUACAUGUGUUUCCUAAGACCCCAACAUGGCACACAGAGAUCCCUUACGGCAUCCCUACCGUGUUACUCUACUGCUCACUGCAUUUCUUCUCUGCCUGACCCUACUGGGACCUACUCUUUGCCCUUUGGGAAGUGUGAGAGGGAUAGCUGGAGGUGCCUUCCCCAAAUGGAAGUCGUUUGUUGGCACUCUCAAACCUGUAAGUGUUGUUUCUGAAUGCCAUCUAUUCCCACCACAGAAUCACCGACUCAGAGCUUACUGCACAAGGAAGAAAGGGUCCAGGGGCCGGGGGUGUUUCACCUGUGCCUGCUGGGCGAGACUGGCCCCAGGCUGCUGGCGUGGACCCGGCCGCUCAGCACCUGGUGGUUCACAUGCUGGGCCCCCAGGUGCCAAGCAUUGCUCAGAGGCACAGGUGUCCUCCUUCCCACUUCUCAAAAGCCGGCUCCCUCCACCUCCCUGUUCCUGUCCCCCUCCUCCUGCAGGGACCUUCUCUGUGAACCUCCUGCCUUGGACGGGGUGACAGUCCUUCUCCAUCUGAACCAAAUGGACAUGCUGAGAUUCCACAUCUGGAGACGGAUGAGUUUUAGAGAACGCGUCCCUCGGAGGACCUUCUGGGCCCAGCACGCUCCAUGGGGGCGUAGGCGCUAUUAUGGUACAGAGGACACCCCAACAGUGCUGCCCCCCGACUGCCCGCCCUCUCCAUGCAACCCCUACAGCACUGCCCCCACCCUGACCUGCUCGCCCUCCCCGUGCACCUCCACAUUGCUGCCGCCCACCUGCUCGCCCUCCCCGUGCACCCCAACAGUGCCCCCCACCUGCUCGCCCCCAUUUCCCGGCUCCCUCCCUUUUUCCUUCUUUCUCUGCCACUGUAUGGCCCCCUCUGCUCUGAUUGAUCCAAGGUCACUCCUCAGAGACCGCGCCCUGGGACUCCAGGCCUUUGGUCCUAUUCCUUCUUUUCACUGUGCACCUUUCAAAGGCCAGGUUAUAAUCUGA